GCUGGGCAUGGUGGCGGGUGCCUGUAGUCCCAGCUACUCAGGAGGCUGAGGUACAAGAAUCACUUGAACCCAGGAGGCAGAGGUUGCAGUGAGCUGAGAUCGAGCCACUGCACUCCAGCCUGGGUGACAGAGUGAGACUCUAUCUCAA
ensembl:misc_RNA Metazoa_SRP Metazoan signal recognition particle RNA